rfam:Pan troglodytes isolate Yerkes chimp pedigree #C0471 (Clint) chromosome 1, whole genome shotgun sequence.
AUGAGGUUUCACCUUGCUGGCCAGGCUGGUCUUGAACUCCUGGUUCGAGACCAGCCUGGCCAACAAGGUGAAACCCCGU